UUUUAGUUCAGCUUCAAUUGUAUGAUCUUUUAUAAUUAUUUUUUGUUUGCUUUUUUUGUGAACGUGCUUGUAGGAGGGAUUUUGUUUUUCUUUCAUUGGAUAUUUCAGUGUAACAUUCACUCCAGGACUUCCAAAAGAUGGCAAUAAGCAGAAAGAGAGCUCAACAAGAUGUAAUUCCAUUUGCUACUGCAAAAGAGGAAGCAAUGGCAUUCAUUUACCGGGGAGAAGACAAGCCAGGAUGUGCCGAAAAAGACGUCAACUCAA